GACGAACGCUGGCGGCGUGCUUAACACAUGCAAGUCGAACGCUGAAGCUCAGCUUGCUGGGUGGAUGAGUGGCGAACGGGUGAGUAACACGUGAGUAACCUGCCCUUCACUUCGGGAUAACUCCGGGAAACCGGGGCUAAUACUGGAUAUGACUCGCGCCUGCAUGGGUGUGGGUGGAAAGUUUUUUCGGUGGGGGAUGGGCUCGCGGCCUAUCAGGUUGGUGGUGAGGUGAUGGCUCACCAAGGCGACGACGGGUAGCCGGCCUGAGAGGGGGACCGGCCACACUGGGACUGAGACACGGCCCAGACUCCUACGGGAGGCAGCAGUGGGGAAUCUUGCGCAAUGGGCGAAAGCCUGACGCAGCAACGCCGCGUGGGCGAAGACGGCCUUCGGGUUGUAAAGCUCUGUCAGGAGGGACGAAGCCACUCAGGUGAAUAGCCGAGAGGGUGACGGUACCUCCAGAGGAAGCCCCGGCUAACUACGUGCCAGCCGCCGCAGUAAGAC
rnacentral:rRNA from 1 species